rnacentral:rRNA from 1 species
GACGAACGCUGGCGGCGUGCUUAACACAUGCAAGUCGAACGGAAAGGCCCCUUUGGGGGUACUCGAGUGGCGAACGGGUGAGUAACACGUGAGUAACCUGCCCUUGACUUCGGGAUAACUUCAGGAAACUGGGGCCAAUACCGGAUAGGAAUCCUUGCUGCAUGGUGGGGGUUGGUAAGCUUCGGCGGUUUUGGAUGGACUGGCGGCUUAUCAGCUUGUUGGUGGGGUAGUGGCUUACCAAGGCUUUGACGGGUAGCCGGCCUGAGAGGGCGACCGGCCACAUUGGGACUGAGAGACGGCCCAGGCUCCUACGGGAGGCAGCAGGGGGGAAUAUUGCACAAUGGGCGGAGGCCUGAUGCAGAAACGCCGCGUGCGGGAUGACGGCCUUCGGGGUGUAAACCGCUUUCAGCAGGGGCGAAGCUUGUGGUGACGGUACCUGCAGAAGAAGCACCGGCUAACUACGUG